rnacentral:rRNA from 1 species
GACGGAGGAUGCAAGCGUUAUCCGGAAUGAUUGGGCGUAAAGCGUCCGCAGGUGGCAGUUCAAGUCUGCUGUCAAAGACCGGGGCUUAACUUCGGAAAGGCAGUGGAAACUGAACAGCUAGAGUAUGGUAGGGGCAGAGGGAAUUCCUGGUGUAGCGGUGAAAUGCGUAGAGAUCAGGAAGAACACCGGUGGCGAAGGCGGUUCUCUGGGAAUGACCUGACGCUGAGGAGCGAAAGUGUGGGGAGCGAACAGG